GAUGAACGCUGGCGGCGUGCCUAAUACAUGCAAGUCGAGCGAACGGACGAGAAGCUUGCUUCUCUGAUGUUAGCGGCGGACGGGUGAGUAACACGUGGAUAACCUACCUAUAAGACUGGGAUAACUUCGGGAAACCGGAGCUAAUACCGGAUAAUAUUUUGAACCGCAUGGUUCAAAAGUGAAAGACGGUCUUGCUGUCACUUAUAGAUGGAUCCGCGCUGCAUUAGCUAGUUGGUAAGGUAACGGCUUACCAAGGCAACGAUGCAUAGCCGAUCUGAGAGGGUGAUCGGCCACACUGGAACUGAGACACGGUCCAGACCCCUACGGGAGGCAGCAGUAGGGAAUCUUCCGCAAUGGGCGAAAGCCUGACGGAGCAACGCCGCGUGAGUGAUGAAGGUCUUCGGAUCGUAAAACUCUGUUAUUAGGGAAGAACAUAUGUGUAAGUAACUGUGCACAUCUUGACGGUACCUAAUCAGAAAGCCACGGCUAACUACGUGCCAGCAGCCGCGGGAAUACGUAGGUGGCAAGCGUUAUCCGGAUUAUUGGGCGUAAAGCGCGCGUAGCGGUUUUUUAGUCUGAUGUGAAAGCCCACGGCUCAACCGUGGAGGGUCAUUGGAAACUGGAAAACUUGAGUGCAGAAGAGGAAAGUGGAAUUCCAUGUGUAGCGGUGAAAUGCGCAGAGAUAUGGAGGAACACCAGUGGCGAAGGCGACUUUCUGGUCUGUAACUGACGCUGAUGUGCGAAAGCGUGGGGAUCAAACAGGAUUAGAUACCCUGGUAGUCCACGCCGUAAACGAUGAGUGCUAAGUGUUAGGGGGUUUCCGCCCCUUAGUGCUGCAGCUAACGCAUUAAGCACUCCGCCUGGGGAGUACGACCGCAAGGUUGAAACUCAAAGGAAUUGACGGGGACCCGCACAAGCGGUGGAGCAUGUGGUUUAAUUCGAAGCAACGCGAAGAACCUUACCAAAUCUUGACAUCCUUUGACAACUCUAGAGAUAGAGCCUUCCCCUUCGGGGGACAAAGUGACAGGUGGUGCAUGGUUGUCGUCAGCUCGUGUCGUGAGAUGUUGGGUUAAGUCCCGCAACGAGCGCAACCCUUAAGCUUAGUUGCCAUCAUUAAGUUGGGCACUCUAAGUUGACUGCCGGUGACAAACCGGAGGAAGGUGGGGAUGACGUCAAAUCAUCAUGCCCCUUAUGAUUUGGGCUACACACGUGCUACAAUGGACAAUACAAAGGGCAGCGAAACCGCGAGGUCAAGCAAAUCCCAUAAAGUUGUUCUCAGUUCGGAUUGUAGUCUGCAACUCGACUACAUGAAGCUGGAAUCGCUAGUAAUCGUAGAUCAGCAUGCUACGGUGAAUACGUUCCCGGGUCU
rnacentral:rRNA from 1 species